UCCGAAUGGGGAAACCCAGUGCAAUUCGUUGCACUAUCGUUAACUGAAUACAUAGGUUAACGAGGCGAACCGGGGGAACUGAAACAUCUAAGUACCCCGAGGAAAAGAAAUCAACCGAGAUUCCCCCAGUAGCGGCGAGCGAACGGGGAGCAGCCCAGAGUCUGAAUCAGCUUGUGUGUUAGUGGAACGGUCUGGAAAGUCCGACGGUACAGGGUGAUAGUCCCGUACACCAAAAUGCACAGGCUGUGAACUCGAAGAGUAGGGCGGGACACGUGGUAUCCUGUCUGAAUAUGGGGGGACCAUCCUCCAAGGCUAAAUACUCCUGACUGACCGAUAGUGAACCAGUACCGUGAGGGAAAGGCGAAAAGAACCCCGGCGAGGGGAGUGAAAAAGAACCUGAAACCGUGUACGUACAAGCAGUGGGAGCACCUUCGGGUGUGACUGCGUACCUUUUGUAUAAUGGGUCAGCGACUUAUAUUCUGUAGCAAGGUUAACCGUAUAGGGGAGCCGCAGGGAAACCGAGUCUUAACUGGGCGUUAAGUUGCAGGGUAUAGACCCGAAACCCGGUGAUCUAGCCAUGGGCAGGUUGAAGGUUGGGUAACACUAACUGGAGGACCGAACCGACUAAUGUUGAAAAAUUAGCGGAUGACUUGUGGCUGGGGGUGAAAGGCCAAUCAAACCGGGAGAUAGCUGGUUCUCCCCGAAAGCU
rnacentral:rRNA from 1 species